UUGUCCUUAGUUACCAGCACGUUAUGGUGGGCACUCUAAGGAGACUGCCGGUGACAACCGGAGGAAGGUGGGGAUGACGUCAAGUCAUCAUGGCCCUUACGGCCUGGGCUACACACGUGCUACAAUGGUCGGUACAAAGGGUUGCCAAGCCGCGAGGUGGAGCUAAUCCCAUAAAACCGAUCGUAGUCCGGAUCGCAGUCUGCAACUCGACUGCGUGAAGUCGGAAUCGCUAGUAAUCGUGAAUCAGAAUGUCACGGUGAAUACGUUCCCGGGCCUU
rnacentral:rRNA from 1 species